GAUGAACGCUGGCGGCGUGCUUAACACAUGCAAGUCGAACGAAGCACUUUAUUUGAUUUCCUUCGGGACUGAUUAUUUUGUGACUGAGUGGCGGACGGGUGAGUAACGCGUGGGUAACCUGCCGUGUACAGGGGGUUAACAGUUGGAAACGGCUGCUAAUACCGCAUAAGCGCACGGCAUCGCAUGAUGCAGUGUGAAAAACUCCGGUGGUAUAAGAUGGACCCGCGUUGGAUUAGCUAGUUGGUGAGGUAACGGCCCACCAAGGCGGCGAACCAUAGCCGAGAUGGGAGGGGGCCCGACUAGAAUUGGGCUAAGACACAGACCACACUCCUACGGGAAGGAGCAGUGGGGAAUACUGCACGAUGGGCGAAAGCGUGACGCAGCGACGCCGCGUAAGCGAAGAAGUAGGUCGGUAUGUAAAGCUCUAUCAGCAGGGAAGUUAAUGACGGUACCUGAAGAAGAAGCACCGGCUAAAUACGUG
rnacentral:rRNA from 1 species